rnacentral:rRNA from 1 species
AUAUUCGUGCAUGGAAUAAUGGAAUAGGACCUCGGUUCUAUUUUGUUGGUUUUCGGAACUCGAGGUAAUGAUUAAUAGGGACAGAAGGGGGCAUUCGUAUUGCGACGUUAGAGGUGAAAUUCUUGGAUCGUCGCAAGACGAACUACUGCGAAAGCAUUUGCCAAGAAUGUUUUCAUUAAUCAAGAACGAAAGUUAGAGGUUCGAAGGCGAUCAGAUACCGCCCUAGUUCUAACCAUAAACGAUGCUGACUAGCGAUCCGCCGGCGUUAUUCCCAUGACUCGGCGGGCAGCUUCCGGGAAACCAAAGUCNUUGAGUUCCGGGGGAAGUAUGGUUGCAAAGCUGAAACUUAAAGGAAUUGACGGAAGGGCACCACCAGGAGUGGAGCCUGCGGCUUAAUUUGACUCAACACGGGGAACCUCACCAGGCCCGGACACCGGAAGGAUUGACAGAUUGAGAGCUCUUUCUUGAUUCGGUGGGUGGUGGUGCAUGGC